GGACAACCAUCCUGUCUGGGCCCAGGUGGUGGGUGCCCUGAGAAAGAAUUACUUUAUUAUUAUUAUUUUCUUCCUUCAGAAGGAAGGGUUGGACCAAAACACCAGACUGUCCUCAUCGGGUGCUCCUCUCUGGGUUGGGUGGGUGAGCCCUGGAAUCCUGUAGGACAUCCCUAAGGGGAGCCUUCCCUCCUGAGAGGAGACCGGGGUGCUGGAAUCUAUGAGGAGUGAAGGUGGAGGUAAGAGAUGGUUCUUGGUGACUGAGGCUGGCCUGGUCCCGACCUGUGCUCCUGGACUGGCCGAUGCCCUGGGCCUGGGGCUGGGUGUGGCCCCGCGGUAGGGAGGUGGGGGAGGGGAGAUGACAUUGCCUUCCAACGUGUGGGUAACGCUUGGGGUGCAGGGUCCCUGUGGACAGGCGGACGGGUGGGUCCCGCAGCCCCACAGCGACACCAUGUGUCAUCAAGAGGAAACUGCAACAGAGGUAGGCGUAGGACCCCAGCUUCCUCCCCCACAGCGUGCAGACCUGAACUGCACUCCUGGGUGAACUCUGAGUUCUGUGGGUCCCAGACACAGAUGUGGAGGGGUCACGCUGGGAGUGGUCAAGCUGUUGGUGAGAAAAAUGAGGCCGAGAAUGAGUAGCCUGGGCUCUGAGGCAGAGACUGAUACCUGGCAGGACCACACUUUCCCACGUCUCUUGCAGUUAAAUGUCACCACAUGACUUAGCUCUGGCAGAGGCAAUGUGGGCAGAAGCGGGGUCACGUUCAGGCCUCCUGCUAAUCAGAACCACCCGUUUUGGGGGCUCCUGGGUGGCUCAGCCGGUUGAACGUCCGACUUCGGCUCG